rnacentral:rRNA from 1 species
UGAAGCCCCCCUCAAGAUGAGAUAUCCCAUCGCGAAAGCGAGUAAGACCCCUUGAAGACGACGAGGUAGAUAGGUUAGAGGUGGAAGUGCAGUAAUGUAUGGAGCUGACUAAUACUAAUCGGUCGAGGGCUUAUCCAA